GGCCUAUCAGCUUGUUGGUGGGUAAUGGCUUCCAAGGCGGCGACGGUAGCCGGCUUGAGAGGGUGGACGGCCACUUUGGGGACUGAAGACACGGCCCUGACUCCUACGGGAGGCAGCAGUGCGGAAUAUUGCACAAUGGGCGCAAGCCUGAUGCAGUGACGCCGCGUGGGGGAUGACGGCCUUCGGGUCUGUAAACUCCUUUCGCCCGGGAAGAAGCCCACAUGGUGGGUGACGGUACCGUGGAGAAGAAGCACCGGCUAGCUACGUGCCAGCAGCCGCGGUAAUACGUAGGGUGCAAGCGUUGUCCGGAUUUACUGGGCGUAAAGAGCUCGUAGGUGGUGUGUCGCGUCGUCUGUGAAAUUCCGGGGCUUAACUCCGGGCGUGCAGGCGAUACGGGCACGACUAGAGUGCUCUAGGGGUAACUGGAAUUCCUGGUGUAGCGGUGAAAUGCGCAGAUAUCAGGAGGAACACCGAUGGCGAAGGCAGUGUUACUGGGCAGUUACUGACGCUGAGGAGCGAAAGCAUGGGGAGCGACCAGGAUUAGAUACCUCUGGUAGUCCAUGCUGUAAACGGUGGGCGCUAGGUGUGGGCCGUGUGCUCGCAGUCUGUGCCGUAGCUAACGCAUUAAGCGCCCCGCCUGGGGAGUACGG
rnacentral:rRNA from 1 species